UUGGUAUUGAAGGAACUAGAUACUGUUCCGAAUAUCACUUACUCGAACCGUCCUGACCGCGUAGCUCAGUUGGAAGAGCAUUGGGCUAGUAUUCCAAAGGUCGUAGGUUCGAAUCCCAACGUGGCCGGGCAUAUUUUUCAGGCUCGCCCGGUGCGGAUAUGCACUCAGACUAACAUCACAAACAUAUUAUUCACCUGAGUACACAACACCAGCACAGAAAAAAAAUUCAUAUUACAAGAACACAUUGGUAUUGAAGGAACUAGAUACUGUUCCGAAAUAUCACUUACUCGAACCGUCCUGACCGCGUAGCUCAGUUGGAAGAGCAUUGGGCUAGUAUUCUAAAGGUCGUAGGUUCGAAUCCCACCGUGGCCGGGCAUAUUUUUCAAGCUCGCCCGGUGUGGAUAUGCACUCAGAGUAACAUCACAAACAUAUUAUUCACCUGAGUACACAACACCAGCACAGAAAAAAAUUCAUAUUACAAGAACACAUUGGUAUUGAAGGAACUAGAUACUGUUCCAAAAUAUCACUUACUCGAACCGUC